rnacentral:rRNA from 1 species
UACGUAGGGUGCAAGCGUUGUCCGGAAUUAUUGGGCGUAAAGAGCUCGUAGGCGGUCUGUCGCGUCGGCUGUGAAAACCCGGAGCUCAACUCCGGGCCUGCAGUCGAUACGGGCAGACUAGAGUGUGGUAGGGGAGACUGGAAUUCCUGGUGUAGCGGUGAAAUGCGCAGAUAUCAGGAGGAACACCGGUGGCGAAGGCGGGUCUCUGGUCUGCUCUUGACGCUGAGGCGCGAAAGCUAGGGUAGCAAACGGG